rnacentral:rRNA from 1 species
GACGAACGCUGGCGGCGUGCUUAACACAUGCAAGUCGAACGGAAAGGCCCUGCUUUUGUGGGGUGCUCGAGUGGCGAACGGGUGAGUAACACGUGAGUAACCUGCCCUUGACUUUGGGAUAACUUCAGGAAACUGGGGCUAAUACCGGAUAGGAGCUCCUGCUGCAUGGUGGGGGUUGGAAAGUUUCGGCGGUUGGGGAUGGACUCGCGGCUUAUCAGCUUGUUGGUGGGGUAGUGGCUUACCAAGGCUUUGACGGGUAGCCGGCCUGAGAGGGUGACCGGCGACAUUGGGACUGAGAUACGGCCCAGACUCAUACGGGAGGCAGCAGUGGGGAAUAUUGCACGAUGGGCGGAAGCCGGAUGCAGCAACGCCGCGUGCGGGAUGACGGCCUGCGGGUUGUAAACCGCUUUCGCCUGUGACGAAGCGUGAGUGACGGUAAUGGGUAAAGAAGCACCGGCUAACUACGUG